GGUUUUCAUCCAUAUUUUACUAGAAAAAACUUAAAAUUUUCUGAAUAAUUAAGUACAGUGCAAAAAAAAAAAUGAGCAUGGAGAAGCAUUCAUCUUGUUCUAAGUUGGCUCUCUUAGCAUUUCUGUUGCUGACUAUUUCAACUCCUACGUUGGGCAAUAGUGAGACAGAUGAUGAUGUUACUCAAGCCAUAAUACAAGAAGUUGUAAAGGAGCAAAUUAUUAAUGCUUAUUAUAACAACAUUAAUCAAGAAAAGGCCAUUAUCAAGGAAUUUGGGUUUGCAAAAGAGACACUUAAGUGCGUAAAGAGAGGAGGACAAUGUGGUGUUUUCGUUGGUGAUUGUUGUGGCGGCACUAUUUGCAUCCCGCCUUUUCCCGUUGGCAUUUGUUCGUAAGCUCGCUCGUAUCGCCGUUCCGUUUCAGCGAUCACCGUGCGCGCGCCUAAGCUAGUUAGCUAGGUUGUCUUUGCGUUUGUGUUUGUGUUUGUGUUUGUGUUUAUGUUUAUGUUGAGAGGGUCGAUGCUCGUUUGAUUGCUAAGGAUCGAUCUAUUAUGAUUGUAUGUUGUACGUACUUUCUUUUGUUGUUGAUUAAUAAAACACCCCCCCCCCCCCCUCUAAAUGUCCUA